GUUUAGAAAAUUUACCUGUCGAUUUAAACUGUAUUUAUUUACGAAAAUAGUAAUUCUUUUCAAGAAUAGUUAUUUCAGUUAAUGUAAAUUUAUGAAAUAAGAAGAAAAAUAUUCAGGAAUUAUUGAUAAUAGAAAAAGUGUGCAGUGUUCUUUUAUAUAAAAAAUCAAAGGAGAAAAACAAAAAGUCGUACAUUUAAAUCAAGGAUGCCGGUGACACGAAAUUUGAGGUUAUGUGCGCCAAGGUGAGCAAAAUUGCAAUGUUCAACGGAUAAAAAUAAGAUGUGUUGGCGAUUUUUGAAUGGACUUUAUAAAAAAUUUGCCGAGAGUUUCUAUGCACAAAAGGAAUUUAAAAUUUUAAGGUUCGUUGAUGAUAUAACAAGAACGAACAUGAGAAAAUGACCAUGAGGGAAUUCAUUCAAAUCAAAUAUCUAUAGGCGUUCGAUUCUUGAGGGAAAGAUGAGGUGUUUGUUGCGGAGCAGCUCCUGGAGGAGAUCUGGUAUUGCUGAGUCGCGGUUCAAUGCAAUUGGUACAGAGGGAAAAUUCAUCUGUUUGAAGAAAUGAUAUGUAUGCUGUCAUCGUAUUUUUUGAUAAGAAGAAAAAGAAGUUUUACUAUACAAAUAACAACAUGAAGGACAGGAAGGAUGUGGACGAAGAAAAACGGUCCCAGCAUGUUGUCAAAUUUUCCAAAAAUAGUCUUUUAUUUUAUUUUUUUUUUUUUGCUUGGCAACAUCGCUCUCGAUCUGCGCAGAAGUGCAAUCAAGAAGCAGAGAUCUUCGAGAGUGACCACAAGAGGAAGGAGGAACAAAUGCAAACCUUGUUCCAACGUGGGAUAUUCGCCGACCGAUGAGUCGUUUUUUAUUAUUGAAUUAUUAUUUACUAUUAUAAUUAUUGGACUCUCAUUAACACACUCACAUAUCCACUGCGUUAGGGUUAUAAAAAAUUGGGUUUUCUAAAAUAUGCGGUUAGGUAUAGGAAUUACUUUUUUUUUUGUAGGAGUUUAACAUUUUUCCGUUUUAAAUAUAGUUAUAGGUAGGAAAAUCGUGAAUUUGUUAUUCCUAUGUGAGUGUCGCAUAAAGUAGAGUACCAAUGAUUUUAUUGUUUCUCAAUAUGUGGUAUUAAAUAUUGCUUGUUUAAUUGAUUAUUCUUUUCAGUUGAAUCAUCGGGGUGAGAAAUAAUAUUUUUUUUAUUAUCUUUUCAAUUUAUAAUAUAAUCAUGUUUUGUAUUUUUAAACAAAAUAGAAAUAUCCAAUUACCGUCAUCAUCAUCAUCAUCAUCAUCAUCUUACAAUUUCAUUCAUCCUUGAAUGAAGAUGUCUGCUCCUGGAUGUUUCGAGUUUUAUCACCGCUUUGUGCCUCUUUUUCGAAAUGUGAAUUUGCAUUCUUCCUAUAUAUAUAUAUAAGUUCCACAAAAGAAGAGAAAAAGUAUAUUAUGCAAAGGAGCAAUCAUUCAACAAAGUGAUACUGAUGUUGCCUGAUGCUUCAAUGUGAUUGGCACUGUUUGACCAGCGAGACUAUUGUAUCUGUAUUAUUGUUCUGCAUGGAAAGGUUUCCUUUUUCUUCGUUACUGAACUUGGAUUUAGUGUUGAGCAUUUAAAGGAGAUUACGCGAAAGAUCGUCGAAAUUUGCAAAGCUCCCGGAAGUUAGACCUGGAUCAUAGAAUAAUGCCCAUCUACAGAGAUGAAUUUUACGACGACGAAUUUAAAAAAGCAACAACAAUACUGUUCAAUUGCUGCGUUUAUUUUGGUAAGUUGAAAAACUUUUUAUAAAUAUAUACGGAAAGUGUGAC